rnacentral:rRNA from 1 species
UACGUAGGGUGCAAGCGUUAUUCGGAAUUACUGGGCGUAAAGCGUGCGCAGGCGGUUUUGUAAGUCUGUCGUGAAAUCCCCGGGCUUAACCUGGGAAUGGCGAUGGAGACUGCAAGGCUAGAAUCUGGCAGAGGGGGGUAGAAUUCCACGUGUAGCAGUGAAAUGCGUAGAGAUGUGGAGGAACACCGAUGGCGAAGGCAGCCCCCUGGGCUAAGAUUGACGCUCAGGCACGAAAGCGUGGGGAGCAAACAGG